UACGAAGGGUGCAAACGUUGCUCGGAAUUAUUGGGCGUAAAGCGCACGUAGGCGGCUCUGUAAGUUGGAUGUGAAAUCCCUCGGCUCAACCAAGGAAGUGCAUUCAAAACUGCAGGGCUUGAGUACUUAAGAGGAUCGCGGAAUUCCCGGUGUAGAGGUGAAAUUCGUAGAUAUCGGGAGGAACACCAGUGGCGAAGGCGGCGAUCUGGGAAGAUACUGACGCUGAGGUGCGAAAGCGUGGGGAGCAAAC
rnacentral:rRNA from 1 species